rnacentral:rRNA from 1 species
UACGGAGGGGACUAGCGUUGUUCGGAAUUACUGGGCGUAAAGCGCACGUAGGCGGAUUUGUAAGUCAGGGGUGAAAUCCCGGGGCUCAACUUGGAGGGGUCAUUCGAUACUGCCAUGACUAGAGUUCGGUAGGGGAGUGUGGAAUUCCUGGUGGAGCGGUGAAAUGCGCAGAUAUCAGGAGGAACACCCGUAGCGAAGGCGGCACUCUGGGCCGGAACUGACGCUGAGGAGCGAAAGCGUGGGGAGCGAACAGG